rnacentral:rRNA from 1 species
GUAAGGAAUAUUGGUCAAUGGAGGCAACUCUGAACCAGCCAUGCCGCGUGAAGGAUUAAGGCCCUCUGGGUUGUAAACUUCUUUUAUAUGGGAAGAAAUGUUCUGAUUCUUCAGAGCUUGACGGUACCAUAGGAAUAAGCACCGGCUAACUCCGUGCCAGCAGCCGAGGUAAUACGGAGGGUGCAAGCGUUAUCCGGAUUCACUGGGUUUAAAGGGUGCGUAGGUGGGCAGAUAAGUCAGUGGUGAAAUCUUCCGGCUUAACCGGAAAAUUGCCGUUGAUACUAUUUGUCUUGAAUAUUGUGGAGGUAAGCGGAAUAUGUCAUGUAGCGGUGAAAUGCUUAGAUAUGACAUAGAACACCAAUUGCGAAGGCAGCUUACUAUAUAAUUAUUGACACUGAGGCACGAAGGCGUGGGGAUCAAACA